GAUGAACGCUGGCGGCGUGCCUAAUACAUGCAAGUCAAGCGGACCAAAGAGAGCUUGCUCUCUGAGGUUAGCGGCGGACGGGUGAGUAACGCGUGGGUAACCUGCCUGUAAGACGGGGAUAACUUCGGGAAACCGAAGCUAAUACCGGAUGAUAAAGAGAAACGCCUGUUUCUUUUUUGAAAGUCGGCCUUGUGCUGACGCUUACAGAUGGGCGCCGCGGCGCAUUAGCUAGUUGGUGAGGUAACGGCCCACCAAGGCUAUGAUCGGUAGCCGGGCGGAGAGGACGACAGGCCACACUGGAACUGAGACACGGUCCAGAGUCCUACGGGAGGCAGCAGUGGGGAAUAUUGCGCAAUGGGCGAAAGCCUGACGCAGUGACGCCGCGUGGGGGAUGAAGCUUCUCGGAGUGUAGACCCCUUUCGACCCGGACGAAAAAUCCCGCAAGGGAUCUGACGGUACGGGUAUAAGAAGCCCCGGCUAACUACGUGCCAGCAGCCGCCGUAACAC
rnacentral:rRNA from 1 species